GAUGUAGCCACACAGUUUCUGGGACAGAGUAUUUGUGCAUAGCAUUAUACCACACUCCUCUCAUUUGGAGGCAGCCCUGGCACCUCUGUGUGGGGUGCUGUUGUACCAGAUUCUGGCAUUUCUCUAGUGCACUGGCCUUCUCUCUAUUUCUUUCCAAGAAAAUACAUGCUGAAGCAAAAUCUCCCAUUUUUCAGCUGAGCUGAGUUUAAGACCCAAAUACAGGCUCUAUGUUAGAGUUCACCAAGAUACUGUCUUGACUCCAGAAAUUCCCUGCAUUUUUAAAUAAAGCAUGCUGGAUAUUCGGAUUAUGUUUGUAG
rnacentral:lncRNA from 1 species